rfam:Pseudallescheria apiosperma strain IHEM 14462 SEQ_SAPIO_0126, whole genome shotgun sequence.
GAGACUAUUAUGGAUAUUCAUGCUAUGUAUAACAGAGAUUUAAUUUAUUAAAUAAAUAUUAACUCUAAGAGAAAUUCUAUAGUAAACGAAGUGAAUUGAAAUAUCUUAGUAACUUCAGGAAAAGAAAUCAAAAGAGAUUCUACAAUUAGUGUGAACGAAAGUAGAAAAGCCUAAAAUUUAAUAAAAAAAGUAAAAUUGAUCAAAAUCAGUUUGAAUUUUAUGGGGAACCUUCCUCAAAGGCUAAAUAUUAUACAUAAGCGAUAGAGAACAUAAGUACCGUGAGGGAAAUAAUAAUUUGAAAUAGUAGUUUUAUAAGCAGUUCGAGCAAUUUGAGCAAGAACGUACCUUUUGCAUAAUGGGUCACCAAGUUAACUUUAGAUGCAAGUUUAAGCGUAGUUAAACCAAUUAUCAAAAAAAUGAUAAGUGUCUAAAGUUAGACCCGAAGCCUGGUGAUCUUACCAUGAUCAGGAUGUAAACAGUCCGAACGGCAUAUCGUUGCAUAGAUAUCCGAAGAAUUAUGGUAAGUUUAGUGAAAGACAAAACUGACCAGGAUAGCUGGUUUUCUGCGAAACCUAUAAUAGUAGGCAAUUCAAAUAACAUCUUAGCAGGUACAGAACUUAAUCUCAGACAAGAUGUAAAAAUUUAAAUUCUUAAAAUACAUUUUGAUUUGUAUAUAUCGGGGGAUCGUGAAGAUUUUAUCGGUGAGUAUGUAGACUCGGAAUGGCAAAGAUGAAUAUUGAAUUAUCAGACAUAGAGUGCUAAGGUUGUAUGUCAAAAGGGAAACAGCCCAGAACAAGAUUUAAGGUUCCAAAAUUAUUAGUUAAGUGAAAAUAAGAAGGUUUCUAUUUGAGUCGACAAGAAGAUGGGCUUAGAAGCAGCCAUAAUUUUAUGAAUUCGUAACAGAGCGCUUGUUAAUUUUUAGAAGCAUCGAAAAUUUAACGGAUCUAAACAAUAUACCGAAAUCUUGUCCAUAUUUAAUAAUAAUAAUAAUUAUUGUUGUUAUAAUACGGGGUAGCAGAACGUUGAGUUAAUAUUAGCUUUUUCUUUUUUAAAGAAAGAUAUAAAAUGAUAACUCAAGUGAGAAUGGUGACAUUAGUAACGAAUAAGAAGAAAUAAUCAUAAUAUGAUUAAAUUGGAUUCUCCGCCUUAAGCUUAUGGAUUUUUAAGUAACGGCCUCUAAAUUAAAAAUCUAAAGAUUUUAAUGAUGAGAAAAUCUUUAUUACUGAACAACAACAUUUUAAGUGUUAAAUGUGCAGGAAAAGUAGUAAUAUAUUACAUAUAUUAUGUAAUAAAAUAACCGUACCUAGAAACUGAAAAAAGUAAGCUAGUAGAGUAUACGAAGGCGUAAAAUGAGCUAACAAUCAUAAAGGAACUCGGCAAAUUGACUACGUAACUUCGGAAUAAGGAGGUCUCAUUAGUCUUGAUUAAUAUCAAGUAAAAAGGAAGAAGCAUGAAAUAGUGUUGUACGACUGUUUAAUUAAAACACAGCACUUUGCUCAAAGAUUAAAAAUCUAAGUAUUGAGUGUGAUGUCUGCCCAAUCCCGGCUGGUUAACAGAUAUAACUGAAUUUAUUAAGAAAGUUUGGUGUUGACGGAACCCCCGGUUAAUGGCGGCCUUAACGUGAGGGUCCUAAGGUAGCGAAAUGCCUUGGCCGUUAAAUGCGGUCUUGCAUGAAUGAUUUAACGAUACAACAGCUGUCUCUAUGAUUGACUCAGUGAACUUG